UUUUAACUGAGCGUUCAGUUACUUGACGUAGACCCGAAACCGGGCGACCUACCCAUGAGCAGGAUGAAGCGAAAGUAAAAUUUCGUGGAGGUCCGAACCCACGAGCGUUGAAAAGCUCGGGGAUGACGUGUGGGUAGCGGUGAAAUUCCAAUCGAGCCCGGAGAUAGCUGGUUCUCCCCGAAAUAGCUUUAGGGCUAGCCUCAAGGUGAGAGAUACGGAGGUAGAGCACUGAAUGUCCUAGGGGGUAUUGCACCU
rnacentral:rRNA from 1 species